GUGGGGCCUCGACGGAGCUGUAGUCGCAAUAGGAGCUAGUGAGCUUGUCUUAUGAAGUUAGCGGCGGACGGGUGAGUCACACGUGGUUAACCUGCCCAUAAGACUGGGAUAACUCCGGGAAACCGGGGCUAAUACCGGAUAACAUUUUGAACCGCAUGUUCGAAAUUGAAAGGCGGCUUCGGCUGUCACUUAUGGAUGGACCCGCGUCGCAUUAGCUAGUUGGUGAGGCUCGGCUCACCAAGGCAACGAUGCGUAGCGGACUUCAGAGGGUGAUCGGACUCACUGGGAUGAGACACUACCCAGACUCCUACGGGAGGCAGCAGUAGGGGAUCUUCCCAAUGGACGAAAGUCUGACGGAGCAACGCCGCGCGAGUGAUGCAGGCUUUCGGGUCGUAAAACUCUGUUGUUAGUGAAGAACAAGUGCUAGUUGAAUAAGCUGUCACCUUGACGGUACCUAACCAGAUAGCCACGGCUAACUACGUGCCAGCAGCCGCGGUAAUACGUAGGUGGCAUGCGUAUCCGGCAUUAUCGGGCGUACAGCGCGCGCGCUCGUUUCUUAAGUCUGAUGUGAGAGCCCACGCUCACUCGUGGAGGGUCAUUCGUAAACUGGGAGACUUGAGUGCAGAAGAGCGAAAGACGCAUUCCAUGUGUAGCGUUGACAUGCGUAGAGAUAUCGAGGAACACAGUGCGAAGCUACUCUCUGGUCUGUCACUCACACUGAGGCGCGAAAGCUGGAGCAACAGGAUUAGAUACCUGUAGUCACGCUGCAACGAUGAGUGCUAAGUGUAGAGGGCUCCGCCUUUAGUGCUGAGUUACGGAUUACGACUACGCCUGGGGAGUACGGCGCAGUUGAACUCAAUGAUUGACGCGGCCCGCCAAACGUGCAGCAUGUCGUAAUCGAGCACGGAGAUCUACAGUCUGAUCUCUGACAUCCUUGAUAGGCUUCUCCUCAGGACGAGUACGGUGCAUGUUCUGUCAGCCCGUCGGUAGUUCGUAGUCCGAACUGGCAACUUGACUAGGUCAGCUAUUGGGACUCUCAUGGAACUCUGGUGCGACCU
rnacentral:rRNA from 1 species